CGCCCUUCCCUCAGGAAGCGGAGCGCCUCAGGAAGCAGAGCGUCCCUAAUGGCUGCAUGGACAAAGAGGAAUCCUCAGGAGUUGGCCGAUAGGAAAGCUUACGUGUUUUUCGAAGCUGAAAAUAUUUUUAAAGCAGUAAAUGCAUAAGUAAAAGCAGUUAAGUAACUACUUCUGUUCCGCGGGUAGCAGCUUGCAUGGGAGAAGAAGUUAAAAGGACGGGACCGAGUUAAUUUUUAAAGGGAUCAUAUCGGAACGGCUGAUCUGCUGCCUGUUACCGGGGAAGAGAAAUAGAACGAGGCCACGACUUACUACGCAGAAAUACUUACUCUUCUAUGUUCGGAAAACCAGUGGAAUGUCAGUGACAGUCGGCUUACGGGAAAAAAGAAAGUGAUCCUCUCAAGUUGGAAUAUGCAUGUUUUACCCAUGCUAAGAUGAUCCCACCCCAUCCCCAGGAGAAGGAGAAGCUGUUGGCAAAGGUUCAGGCCCCUGGCACAGAUGCCCCAGGCUGAACAGGAAAGGAGCAGCCCCUGCUGCAGACCAAGCUUGCUGAACUCUGCUCUUGGGGGACAGACUCAAGGAGACCGUGCGUGUCUGAGAGACAAUGUGCAUCCUACCACCGGAGCAGGACAAGGAGACUCAGCCAGACGAGAAAUGGACACUUCCACAACCAGGCAAGAGUUGCACCUGCUGUCGAAGGCUUUAAUUCCCCUUCAGUUAUCUAGAAGCCAUCUCAGAGCAUCUGAGUAAGCAUCUGCCAGCAUCCAGAGGCAAAGAAGCAAUUCAUAGCUCACAGAUUACACAGAGCACAGGAACACAAGGGGAACAUAGAUCUUUGUUUCUGCUGGGAAAAAAUCAAAGCAGCAAAGACUUUCUUCAGUUUUGAUGGUCAUUUUCUGAGGGUAGCUAUGUCCCUACCUGCAGCUGAUGCUGCAGACACUGAAAUACAAGAAAGCAAAGAUAAAAUUCACUCUUCGAAAUAAGUCAGCUACUCCAUUCCCUGAUCUUCAUGUCAUCCUUCAUUGUGCUUUGUGCAGUCUUAUAUUGAUCAAGCAAUUUCCCUUUUUUUUUUGCUAACAUGAACAUUCUUGCUGUGGCUGGUACUUGUUCUGGUAGUUGGAAGAUACCAGUGUAAACCAGGGCACUAUUAUGCUGCACUGGGAAUGUGGAUUUCCUAUUAUGCUGCACUGGGAAUGUAGAUUUCAUGGGUGAGUGAGCUUUGGUUUCAAAUGUGCUUAUAAGCAAAUCAGGUUUUGAUUUACUCAGGAUCAGUAUUAUAUACUGAAGUAUUUACUCAGUAGGAUCUUUUUCGAAGAGAGAAAAUAUUUUAAUAUUACAAAACUCCUUGUGUCGAUGACUCAGCUCCCAGUGAUUCAUACUCUACACUCAUAUUUCAUUUAGUUUUCACAUCCUGAAGAUCUGGGUCUUGGAUGACACUUUUACAUGGCUGGAAGAUUUAUCACAGUGCAGGACAAAGAUAAGCCCAUUUAUUUUUUGCCUUAGCCUGCCAAAAUCCACUCCCUCCUGCUCAAUACUUAGCUAUGUGAAACUUGGUGAUAAGAAGCUCCACCCCUGAUUUUGUGGCUAGUUCUGCGUAAUUCUUUUAUUGUCAUAGUGAAUAGAUAAAUGAAAGAAUCAUCCCAAAGAGAUUGCAGUUUAGAUUGGAUAAGAUUGAAAAAGAUAACAAGAAAAUGGAAAUGGGAGGAAUGAUUACAAGUGAAAGGUAAUAGGCACCUUUCUUACUAGUGCGCAUAUAUUAAGCCUGUUGGUAUCAUUAAUGAACACUUUUUGCAGAUACACAUUGUGUCUCACAAAUUCAUGCUGAAUUGUGUCGCAAUCCGUGUGCAGGUCAACAGGAGACUGCUCAGGAGUUAGCAGGACUGGCUAAUCUUGGAAAUGUACCCAGCAACGAGAUGUUUUGGUUUUGAGGAGACAUUGUCUAAAUCAGGAAAAGAAGGGAGUUUUAGAAAAUGUGGCAGACAAAACAGAGAAACAAAAGGAAUCAGUAAAUCUGAAAUCCCCAUCUAUAAUAUUAAAGCGUGUAUGGUGCAUGUUUAAAACACGUUUCCAAAAAGAAAUGUCCAUAAAGCCAGGAGGCUACAGUGUGUAUAAUGGGAAUCAUAAUAAGGGAAUCUAAGGCUGAGAGGACCUUUUCUGACACUGUAGUAGAAUUUAAUUUGUAGCAAGCAGUAAUCCUCAAUUGAACAGCUCUUGAAUGUUGCAAUAGGAUAAAGCUUACUUUGUGCCAGGUCUCUUUCAUGUGAAAAUGUUGUUAUUUGACCUCCACUCACAAGGGCUUCACUUCAUGUUGACAGCAAGACUUUCCAGUACAAUAUGUAAGAGCAGACCAAAGAGCAGUUUACAGAGAGUGUUGGCACACUGUGUUUCACAGUUGUGCAGUUGGUGUGUGCCAUCAGCAUGCCUGGAGUAGUCAGUUAAUUUUUGUCAUGGACUGUACAUAUUUACAAAGCCAUGAUUUGCUUGCAGAGUGCUUACCCAGUCCCUAUUCUCUAAAGGACUAUAAAGAGUACCUAUAAAGAUGAAGGAUUACAGAUGUCACCAUGGGAAACACAUAACAGGAUUUGACUUUAGCCUCUUCUUCUCUGAAUCAUUUCCUUCAUUGUUGUAAAAGGGCAGAAUUGGAAGGCAAGAGGGCAGGACUCAGCUCCUCUGCCAAGACUGGGCUAUGAAGGGAAUUUGUCUUGUGGGAGCCUAUCAUUGCCUCAGAGUUCUUCGGGACAAUGCUGCUGGUCGUAGGGCUUGUCCUGUUGGUGAGUGUGAUGAGGUUUUUGGGUAGUAGAAUGUCCCACUGAGCCAAGACAGCUGGAGGUUAAUGGACCGGGAAAUUCAGAGCAUGAAAUUUGCUUACUGUCUUAAACGCUUGUGAGGUUUGUCAUCCCAGCUGCUGCUGCUAGUGAGCAACACAGAAAAGGAGGCUCAUCAUGACUGGCUGUGAGAACACACAUUCGUGCAGCUGUAUGGGGCAGCUGGUAUUAUCAUGUGACUAAACUAUGGGAAUAUCUUAGAAACUUACUAAGCCUUGUAGCACACAACUUUAUUUAAAGAUGGUGAAGGUUAUUUCAUCACUAACUCAUACCUAACAUGAAAGCCAGGAAAGAUAUUCCAGGAUUUUUCUUUCUAGGAAAUUUUGGGGACAUUGAUGAUUCCUUUAUUAAUAUAUUUAAUAAACUUUUGUUAGAUAUAAUAUUAGUUAUGUGU
ensembl:lncRNA